rnacentral:rRNA from 1 species
AUUGAACGCUGGCGGCAUGCCUUACACAUGCAAGUCGAACGGUAACGCGGGGCAACCUGGCGACGAGUGGCGAACGGGUGAGUAAUGCAUCGGAACGUGCCCAGUAGUGGGGGAUAGCCCGGCGAAAGCCGGAUUAAUACCGCAUACGACCUACGGGUGAAAGCGGGGGCUCGCGAGACCUCGCGCUAUUGGAGCGGCCGAUGUCAGAUUAGGUAGUUGGUGGGGUAAAGGCCUACCAAGCCUACGAUCUGUAGCUGGUCUGAGAGGACGACCAGCCACACUGGGACUGAGACACGGCCCAGACUCCUACGGGAGGCAGCAGUGGGGAAUUUUGGACAAUGGGCGCAAGCCUGAUCCAGCCAUGCCGCGUGCGGGAAGAAGGCCUUCGGGUUGUAAACCGCUUUUGUCAGGGAAGAAACGCUCCGGGCUAAUACCCUGGGGUAAUGACGGUACCUGGAGAAUAAGCACCGGCUAACUACGUGCCAGCCGCCGCGGUAAUAC